CCUGCAUGAAUUUUAAGGCAAAACAGUUGUGAAAUGUCAUUAUGUCAACGAGAAUCAUUCGCCCCACCACGUCGACUGUCGCCACGUCUACAUUUGCAGCAAUGCAGGUUUGUGUUUUCGUUCUUAUACACUUUGCAUGUAACGUUUCUUACCCUACAUAAGGUCACAUUAUAACGAAUAUCGAUUGAAACGUCUAGUAUAAAAGUCAUAUACAGUGUACGCUUUGCUGAGUAUCUUCAGAACAACAAUUUCUCAACGCGGAAGACGCGGAAGUAUCUUGACACAAACGUAAUUUUUGAUUCGACAAUAGGAUAUUAUGGAUAUAUAAACGUUUACUAAAGUCUUGAUUCAAGCAUAUACUCACCUUUUUUUUCAAAACUUCUUUGUACUAAUAGCAAUCAUGCAUGAAGAUACGGCAAGAAAAAUCCAGUUUGAGGUUUGACCACACAGACUACAGAGUCUC